rnacentral:misc_RNA from 1 species
UCCGGUUUGGCACCGGCAGUCCUCCCAGAGUCCUCGGCAUGACCCGGUAGCAACUGGGAGCGGGGGUUGCGCUCGUUGCGGGACUUAACCCAACAUCUCACGACACGAGCUGACGACAGCCAUGCAGCACCUGUGCAGGGACUCCGAAGAGGGGACUCGGUUUCUCGAGCCUUUCCCCUGCAUGUCAAGCCCAGGUAAGGUUCUUCGCGUUGCGUCGAAUUAAACCACAUGCUCCACCGCUUGUGCGGGCCCCCGUCAAUUCCUUUGAGUUUCAGCCUUGCGGCCGUACUCCCCAGGCGGGGCACUUAAUGCGUUAGCGCCGGCACCCAGGGGGUCGCUCCCCCAGGCACCUAGUGCCCAUCGUUUACGGCGUGGACUAC